rnacentral:rRNA from 1 species
UAGCGGAGGUGGCAAGCGUUGUUCGGAAUUACUGGGCGUAAAGGGCGCGUAGGCGGCAUGGCAAAGUCAGGUGUGAAAGCCCCCGGGCUCAACUCGGGAACUGCAUCUGAAACUGCUGUGCUUGAGUCCUGGAGGGGGUAGUGGAAUUCCCAGUGUAGCGGUGAAAUGCGUAGAUAUUGGGGAGGAACACCGGUGGCGAAGGCGGCUACCUGGACAGUGACUGGACGCUG